CGAUGAAGCUCUCUGCUUGCAGAGAGUGGAUUAGUGGCGAACGGGUGAGUAACACGUGGGUAACCUGCCCAUAAGAGGGGGAUAACAUUCGGAAACGGAUGCUAAUACCGCAUAUGUCUUUGAGACGCCUGUCUCUUAGACGAAAGGUGGCUUCGGCUGCCACUUAUGGAUGGACCCGCGGCGUAUUAGCUAGUUGGUGAGGUAAUGGCUCACCAAGGCAUUGAUACGUAGCCGACCUGAGAGGGUGAUCGGCCACACUGGGACUGAGACACGGCCCAGACUCCUACGGGAGGCAGCAGUAGGGAAUCUUCCACAAUGGGUGAAAACCUGAUGGAGCAAUACCGCGUGAGUGAAGAAGGUCUUCGGAUCGUAAAGCUCUGUUGUUAGAGAAGAACAAGUCGGGUAGUAACUGCCCCGACCUUGACGGUAUCUAACCAGAAAGUCACGGCUAACUACGUGCCAGCAGCCGCGGUAAUACGUAGGUGACAAGCGUUGUCCGGAUUUAUUGGGCGUAAAGCGAGCGCAGGCGGUCUUUUAAGUCUGAUGUGAAAGCCCACGGCUCAACCGUGGAGGGUCAUUGGAAACUGGAAGACUUGAAUGCAGAAGAGGAAAGUGGAAUUCCAUGUGUAGCGGUGAAAUGCGUAGAUAUAUGGAGGAACACCAGUGGCGAAGGCGACUUUCUGGUCUGUAAUUGACGCUGAGGCUCGAAAGCGUGGGGAGCGAACAGGAUUAGAUACCCUGGUAGUCCACGCCGUAAACGAUGAGUGCUAAGUGUU
rnacentral:rRNA from 1 species